CCUACGGGUGGCAGCAGUGAGGAAUAUUGGUCAAUGGGCGAGAGCCUGAACCAGCCAAGCCGCGUGAGGGAGUACUGCCCUAUGGGUUGUAAACCUCUUUUGCCGGGGAGCAAAAGCCGGACGUGUACGGCUGUGAGAGUACCCGACGAAAAAGCAUCGGCUAACUCCGUGCGAGCAGCCGCGGUAAUACGGAGGAUGCGAGCUUUAUCCGGAUUUAUUGGGGUUAAAGGGUGCGCAGGCGGAUUGUUAAGUCAGCGGUCAAAUCGUGGGGCUCAACCCCAUCCAGCCGUUGAAACUGGGGAUCUAGAGUGUGCGAGAGGUAUGCGGAAUGCGUGGUGUAGCGGUGAAAUGCAUAGAUAUCACGCAGAACCCCGAUUGCGAAGGCAGCAUACCGGUGCACAACUGACGCUCAGGCACGAAAGCGUGGGUAUCGAACAGGAUUAGAUACCCCUGUAGUC
rnacentral:rRNA from 1 species